GGAAAAGAAAACAUUAAAUGAAAAUGUGAGCGGAUGGAGGCUGCUGCGAGGAGCGCUGGGCUGCUGCGCCAGUGCCCUCUCCUGGGCAGAGGGAGCCGAGCAGAGCCGGGCUGGGUGACAAGCAUGAAGCCCUACACUGAUCCGGAUGGAGAUGAACACCACCCAACCCGAAACGCCCCGAGCUCCCGAUCGGAGCGAUGCAUCGCGGCGGAGGUAGCAGCCAAUGGAAGAGGAGCUGCCUGGUUAUCAUCGUUAGUAUUGAGAAGCGUCAUGCACUGCUCGGGAAGACUUUUUGGGAGCGGGCAGAGACAUCGCUCCCCUCCGAACGAGUUGUCUGCUAGAGCCGGAUUUUGGCAAACGGCGCCAGGUUUCCCUGGUUCAAUUUGCACACGGGAUGACAAAUGAAUAUCAUAGUAUAUAUUCCGCACACACACCCCUCUCUCCCCCCCCCCCCUCCUUCCCCUCCCCAUCCUCGAAGUACCCGAGAAUAAGCAAUGAAAACAAAGGUAGUUUUGUAUUUUAAACGGAGGAGGGGAAAAACACGAUACACGAGGGCUGUUCCCACGGGUGGGUGGGAGUGGAAAAGCAGUUCCCAUUCGCGUCGCCCGCACAUACCAUCCCUGCUCCCUCCCCGUCGGGGCCACGCGUGGCACGGAGCUGCCCGAAGGGAUAACGUUGGGGGCACUCCAAAGGGGAUGUGGGGGGAAAUCCCGGGGGAAAGUGGCCUCCUGCAACCCCUUUUUUUUCUGUCGCGGGUCCUCGAGGGAGGCUGCUGGGAUGCUGGGGGAGAAGUUCGUGGGACCUCACCUAGAGAAGGGGUUGGAGGGGUUUCCCCAUGGGUUUUCCCCGUGCCGGGGGUUAAGAGAGGGGGGAGCGCGACCCGCACAGCCCCCGCUUUGGGGGAAUGGGGCUGAGAAAUUUCCAACACAUUUCUAAACGCAACGAAAAAAGCCGCUGGGACGGCGCCGGUGGCGGCAGCCGCAAAGUCUCCGACCCCGCCGGCCUCGUCCAGGUGAGCGGACUCUAAACCGUGCCCCCAUCCUCCUCCUCCUCUUCCUCCUCCUCUUCCUCCUCCUCCCCGGCCCCGCACGCACACGGGGAAAUGAAAGUCAUUUGUUGAGAGCGGAAAGGAGAGAGAGAAAAAAAAAAAAAGCAGGAAAUAACUGAGGGUGGUUGACGAUAUUGUUAUCAUUAUCGUUGUUGUUAUUCUUAUUACUACUCCGGGGGUAGCGAACGACCGCCAAUGGCAGCGCGGGGCCGCUCCGGCGGGAGCCGAAGUUGCCUCCGGGAGACUGCGGGGGGAGCGCGGAGGUUGCGGGGCUGCGGACCCCACCGUCGG
ensembl:lncRNA